AAGUCGUAACAAGGUUUCCGUAGGUGAACCUGCGGAAGGAUCAUUAUCAAAUAAUCCGAAAAACUUUUUUUUAAUAUUCGAAAGGAUAUUAAAAAAAUAUCAACCAACCGUGAACUGUUUUGCCUCCAACGAGGAAGGGUUCGAACGUGCAGGUGAUGCUUGCAUUAGUACUUUCUUUGUUGGUUGUAUUUUUUUUUAAUUUAUUAACCCUUCUAACAAAAACCUUUUUAAAACUUAAUUUUUGAACUGAAUUAAUUUUCUUUUUCCUUCUAACCCAAGGAAAAUUAAAAUCAAAAUACGAAAAAUUAAUUAGAACAACUCUUAGCAACGGAUAUCUUGGUUCUC
rnacentral:misc_RNA from 1 species